rnacentral:rRNA from 1 species
UCGGAUUGUAGGCUGAAACUCGCCUGCAUGAAGUUGGAAUCGCUAGUAAUCGCGGAUCAGCAUGCCGCGGUGAAUACGUUCCCGGGCCUUGUACACACCGCCCGUCACACCAUGAGAGUCGGGGACACCCGAAGUCCGUAGUCUAACCGCGAAGGGGGACGCGGCCGAAGGUGGAUUCGAUAAUUGGGGUGAAGUCGUAACAAGGUAGC